AUGGUGGCUGGUGCAUUCACCUUGUCUGCAACAAUGAUGGAAGCUGAGCUAGGUUCGAUUGUUCAACGAUUUUCUGCCCGUUUGGUUCCACAAGUAGAAGGUGCAAUUUCAGCAUCCAAGCGGGUCAAGCUGCAAUGCCCAGAAAGAGCAGACUCUGUUCUGGCCAUUCUCAGAAACCAUGGAUUCUCUGAAACCCAGGUUGCACAGAUGACCUUGCCAAAGCUGUAGCUUCAAAUCCAAUGCUGUUGGGACAAAGCUUGGAGAAUCACAUCAUACCGACUCAUAAAUUGCUGAAGAGUAUGCUUCCUCACAAAUCUGUUGGCGCUGUUUUGAAGAGUGGCUCACGGAUUUUCAUGGCAAACCACGGCACCAGUGUGUUGCCAAAUAUUAGUCUUUUGAGACAAGUAGGUAUGCCACAGUCGGGAAUUUCUUAUUUGCUUGUUAAUUUGACUCGCCUUGUCAGUCUAAAGCACGAAAGUUUUGCUCUACUUGUGGCCGAGGCCAAGGAAAUGGGAUUCAAUAUGAAAAACUCAACUAGCUUGCAUGCAAUGAACGCAUUGUGGUGUAAGAAUGCGUUGAAUCGCAGUCGCGGAGUUUGUAUGAUGAGUUGGGGUUGGUCUGAGGAUGAUUUUAUCUCUGCCUUCAGGAAGUGCCCAAAGAGUAUGCUUGUGUCGGAGAAGAAAAUAAUGCAAGUAAUGGAAUUUUUGGUGAACAAGAUGGGAUGGCCUUCUGUCGUAGUUGCUAAAUACCCAAUUUUUUUUGUUGUAGUUUGGAGAAGAGAAUAAUCCCAAGGUUUUCGGUGUUCAAAGUUUUGUUGUUGAAGGGAUUGGUAAAUGAAGACCUGAGUUUGCUGUAUGUGUUACAAAUUGGGGAAGAGCAGUUCUUGAAGAGGUUUGUGACAAAAUUUGUGAACCAAAUACCUCAGCUGCUGAGUGUGUAUCAAGGAAAUGUGGAUAUCCAUGAUGUAAUUGACACCUUGAAAACGGAGAGUUUGUAACUGAUUAGCCCUUUAAUGCUGCACUACAUAUUGGUGGUAGGAUUUGUAUUCAACAUUGCAGGUUACAGUUUUGCUUCUAUCUGUUGUGUUUUGAAAAGAUCCUUUAUGAUUCAUUACUUUGACUGUGCCCUGUAUGAUUUGCUCUAUGUUGUAUCCUUGUACGGUUUCAAUGUAAUUCAUUUUGGAAGAGUUGAAAAGG